rnacentral:rRNA from 1 species
AGAGUUUGAUCCUGGCUCAGAGCGAACGCUGGCGGCGUGCUUAACACAUGCAAGUCGAGUGCGCGUCUGUAGCAAUACAGAUGGCGCACGGCGCACGGGUGCGUAACACGUGGGUAAUCUGCCCUUCGAUGGGGAAUAUCUUCGGGAAACCGAAGCGAAUUCCGCAUAACAUUCCUUGAACUUCGGUUUGAGGACUCAAAGCCGUAAGGCGUCGGAGGAGGAACCCGCGCACGAUUAGCUAGUUGGUAGGGUAACGGCCUACCAAGGCUUUGAUCGUUAGCUGGUCUGAGAGGAUGGCCAGCCACACUGGAACUGAGACACGGUCCAGACUCCUACGGGAGGCAGCAGUGGGGAAUCUUGCACAAUGGGCGAAAGCCCGAUGCAGCGACGCCGCGUGGGGGAUGAAGCUUUUCGGAGUGUAAACCCCUUUCGACCCGGACGAAUGCCCCGCAAGGGGACUGACGGUACGGGUAUAAGAAGCCCCGGCUAACUACGUGCCAGCAGCCGCGGAAAGACGUGGGGGGCCAGUGUUGCUCGGAAUUACUGGGUGUAAAGGGUUCGUAGGCGGUGUGGCAAGUCGGGAGUGAAAUCUCUGGGCUUAACUCAGAGUCUGCUUCCGAAACUGCUGUGCUUGAGUGUGGGAGAGGCGCGUGGAAUUGCAGGUGUAGCGGUGAAAUGCGUAGAUAUCUGCAGGAACACCCGUGGCGAAAGCGGCGCGCUGGACCACUACUGACGCUGAGGAACGAAAGCUAGGGGAGCAAACAGGAUUAGAUACCCUGGUAGUCCUAGCCCUAAACGAUCAGGACUUGGGGUGCCGCACGUUCGUGCGUCGUCCCGGAGCUAACGCGUUAAGUCCUGCACCUGGGGAGUACGGUCGCAAGACUGAAACUCAAAGGAAUUGACGGGGGCCCGCACAAGCGGUGGAACAUGUGGUUCAAUUCGACGCUACGCGAGGAACCUUACCUGGGCUCGAAGCGCACUUGACUAGCUAUAGAAAUAUGGCCUUCCCGCAAGGGACAAGUGUGGAGGCGCUGCAUGGCUGUCGUCAGCUCGUGCCGUGAGGUGUUGGGUUAAGUCCCGCAACGAGCGCAACCCCUGCACGUAGUUGCCACUCCGCAAGGAGGGAACUCUACGUGGACUGCUCCGGAUAACGGAGAGGAAGGUGGGGACGACGUCAAGUCCGCAUGGCCUUUAUGUCCA